rnacentral:rRNA from 1 species
AAUUGGAGGGCAAGUCUGGUGCCAGCAGCCGCGGUAAUUCCAGCUCCAAUAGCGUAUAUUAAAGUUGUUGCAGUUAAAAAGCUCGUAGUUGAAUUUCGGGAUUGACGUGAUGGUCGUGCCUUAAGGGGUAUGAACUGUCGCAGUUGAUUUCUCACCUUCUGGAGAAGCUUGAUGUCCUUAAUUGGGUGUCAUGUGGAACCAGGACCUUUACCUUGAAAAAAUUAGAGUGUUUAAAGCAGGCAUUUUGCUCGAAUACAUUAGCAUGGAAUAAUAGAAUAGGACGGCAUGGUUCUAUUUUGUUGGUUUCUAGGAUCACCGUAAUGAUUAAUAGGGAUAGUUGGGGGCAUUAGUAUUCAAUUGUCAGAGGUGAAAUUCUUGGAUUUAUUGAAGACUAACUACUGCGAAAGCAUUUGCCAAGGAUGUUUUCAUUAAUCAAGAACGAAAGUUAGGGGAUCGAAGACGAUCAGAUACCGUCGUAGUCUUAACCAUAAACUAUGCCGACUAGGAAUCAGACGAUGUUAAUUUUUUAAUGACUCGUUUGGCACCUUACGGGAAACCAAAGUGU